GUCCCUUCAAGGACAUCUGAUAAAAUUGGAACGACACAAAGAAAAUUAGCAUGACCUUUGCGCAAGGAUGACACGCAUAAAUCAAGAAAUUGUCAAAAAAAAU